UGUGACUGAUGGAGGAUGGAUGCUAAUCUGCUCGGCAUGGUAUUGGUCCCCGGCACCAUCCUUCUCCAGAAAUCAACCAUCACUACCAGCAGAAUGACACACGGUGAGGAGAAGGGCUCGAUGGCACCGGCGAGUGAGCUCGCUCGCUACUGCUCGAUCUGUUCGUAAAUUCCCUGCCGCUUGGUUUCUGGAUCUUCGUGAGAACAUCCAUGAUGACGCCGGCGGCAACGCUGGUGCUAAAGAAAAAUCUUGUCUCCUACGUGGUGCCACUAGAAGGUAGGCUACUAGACUGUAAGGGAGCUCAUCAAGCUGCCAUCUAGAGCAUCUUCUUGUGUGUGGAGUGGCUGGAGCUGGGCGAACAAGCAGCGCUGCUGGUCCAAGGCAGAGAAGGGAGUGUCAAGUUGCUCGCACCCAAGGCCCACCGGGGCAAAGUCGCCGCCAUUCAGGAUCUUUUUGACAUCGGCAUCCAAAGGAUUUACAGAUAGAUUGUUUGACAAGGUGGCUUUUCUGCUGUUCGCCCUGGUAGGUGGACUACCAGGACUUCGGGUGUGAGACCAACGUACCGCAAGCUACCAGUGAUGUCUCAGCCUCUGCUAUUAUAACCUUAUAUGGUCGCUCGCUUGAUACUCUUCAGCCCGCUCCUUCCCUGCCGCUGGGUGGACCUGGAAGUGACCGAAACAAUGCUGGAUGCUGUGUCGGUGAAAGAGAAAGGCCUCAUCUUCAUCGUUGGGUCCACCUGUAAGGUCGGCUCCCACACCGUCAGCAAUCGGUUUGGAACCACCGCCAGGAUAGCUGGAUUUUUGUGCACCAUCUGUCCCAGAAGUGCUGCUGCUUGUGUCGAAGGAUCGGAUGUCCUGCUGCUGGCCCGUUGGUGGAUGACUAGGAAUUGCAGUGUGAUGGUGGCGUGUUCACCGCUGUGCCUUAAGCAACCAAUUGAUGUCUAAGCCUCAGCUGUCGGAGUUGCAGUGUGAUGGUGGCGUGUUCACCAAUGCGCGUUAAGCAACCAGUGAUGUCUGACCCUCUGAGCUAGAUGCUUUGGAAGCUGAUAUGGACGUUGAAUCGAACUCAGUCCCACCUUACCUUCAACCGGAGAAAGAGUCGGAUCUGGAUUCUGAGCUCAAGCUGCCUGCUGCGCCAAGUGAUCAUGCAGCAGCCCCGAACUGGAGCAAGAGGUCAUGAAUGAUGGAGAUGAGCAACAAGAACAGGUUGGAUGAUCAUCUACACCUGUGUUCCAAGGACUGUGCCGAAGCUGAGAAGUAGGAGAGCAAGCAUCGGAUGAUGCUGCUGCGGUGGAUCGUUGUUUCGGGCCUGGAGCAUGUAUGUGAACUGAAGGAAGUCGCAGCGACAAAGUGCCAU